GCUAGUAGGUGAGAAGAUGAAUAAGUGGGAAUCCUGUACUAAAUGUCAUGGUGAUGGCCAGAGCCAGCUCUGUGGCUCCUUCCGGCUCUGGACCUUGUGGAGAGGCAGGAAGAGAACCUCAGAAAAAGCAUUUUCAGAAUUGAAUUUCUCGAACCCACCAUCUUUCUCAUCCUGCCCCCAGGCCUCAGCAUUCAGCCGUGACCACCGUCCUGAGUCAGGAAUGUCAUUGUCUAGAAGAGUCUGAUUGCAAGAGGAAGAGAGAGGAAUAAAUCAUUAUUGAGGUCAAGGAGAAGAGCUUGG
rnacentral:lncRNA from 1 species